rnacentral:rRNA from 1 species
UGGGGAAUAUUGCACAAUGGGGGGAAACCCUGAUGCAGCGACGCCGCGUGGAGGAAGAAGGUCUUCGGAUUGUAAACUCCUGUUGUUGAGGAAGAUAAUGACGGUACUCAACAAGGAAGUGACGGCUAACUACGUGCCAGCAGCCGCGGUAAAACGUAGGUCACAAGCGUUGUCCGGAAUUACUGGGUGUAAAGGGAGCGCAGGCGGGAAGGCAAGUUGGAAGUGAAAUCCAUGGGCUCAACCCAUGAACUGCUUUCAAAACUGUUUUCUUGAGUAGUGCAGAGGUAGGCGGAAUUCCCGGUGUAGCGGUGG